UCCCCGGUAGCUCAGCGGUAGAGCAAGUGACUGUUAAUCACUGGGUCGGCGGUUCGAAUCCGUCCCGGGGAGCCA
rnacentral:tRNA from 2 species